rnacentral:rRNA from 1 species
GUCGAGCGGAUGAAGGGAGCUUGCUCCUGGAUUCAGCGGCGGACGGGUGCGUAAUGCCUAGGAAUCUGCCUGGUAGUGGGGGAUAACGUCCGGAAACGGGCGCUAAUACCGCAUACGUCCUGAGGGAGAAAGUGGGGGAUCUUCGGACCUCACGCUAUCAGAUGAGCCUAGGUCGGAUUAGCUAGUUGGUGGGGUAAAGGCCUACCAAGGCGACGAUCCGUAACUGGUCUGAGAGGAUGAUCAGUCACACUGGAACUGAGACACGGUCCAGACUCCUACGGGAGGCAGCAGUGGGGAAUAUUGGACAAUGGGCGAAAGCCUGAUCCAGCCAUGCCGCGUGUGUGAAGAAGGUCUUCGGAUUGUAAAGCACUUUAAGUUGGGAGGAAGGGCAGUAAGUUAAUACCUUGCUGUUUUGACGUUACCAACAGAAUAAGCACCGGCUAACUUCGUGCCAGCAGCCGCGGUAAUACGAAGGGUGCAAGCGUUAAUCGGAAUUACUGGGCGUAAAGCGCGCGUAGGUGGUUCAGCAAGUUGGAUGUGAAAUCCCCGGGCUCAACCUGGGAACUGCAUCCAAAACUACUGAGCUAGAGUACGGUAGAGGGUGGUGGAAUUUCCUGUGU